UACAGAGGUCUCAAGCGUUGUUCGGAUUCAUUGGGCGUAAAGGGUGCGUAGGCGGCGCGGUAAGUCGGGUGUGAAAUCUCGGAGCUUAACUCCGAAACUGCAUUCGAUACUGCCGUGCUUGAGGACUGGAGAGGAGACUGGAAUUUACGGUGUAGCGGUGAAAUGCGUAGAUAUCGUAAGGAAGACCAGUGGCGAAGGCGGGUCUCUGGACAGUUCCUGACGCUGAGGCACGAAGGCCAGGGGAGGCUAAACGGAUCAGAGUACCCUAGGUAGCUCCAG
rnacentral:rRNA from 1 species